GAGGGUAGAAUGUACGCAGAUCAUACUACUACCCCUAGCGAGGUAGAGAGGCUGCUUCCAUCAUUUUUUGUUACAAUUAAAAAUGGCCCAGUUCAGUAUCUUGCUUGUUCAUCCAUUGUUUAAUAGAAGACCAUAGAAUCUUUUUUCUUUUUUUGAAUGGUCAUCUGAGCAAAUUAUAAAAACUCCAAGUGUCAUCCUUCAUGCAUACAUGUUUAGGUAAUAGCAAGAACAAACAUCUCCAAAUUCAAUAACUUAUGAACAUUAUCACUUCAUUGUAUGUGGAAGGUAAUUUAUUGUCCUAACUUCUAAAUUUCUAA
rnacentral:lncRNA from 1 species